rnacentral:rRNA from 1 species
CCACAGAACUUUCCAGAGAUGGAUUGGUGCCUUCGGGAACUGUGAGACAGGUGCUGCAUGGCUGUCGUCAGCUCGUGUUGUGAAAUGUUGGGUUAAGUCCCGCAACGAGCGCAACCCUUAUCCUUUGUUGCCAGCGGUCCGGCCGGGAACUCAAAGGAGACUGCCAGUGAUAAACUGGAGGAAGGUGGGGAUGACGUCAAGUCAUCAUGGCCCUUACGACCAGGGCUACACACGUGCUACAAUGGCGCAUACAAAGAGAAGCGACCUCGCGAGAGCAAGCGGACCUCAUAAAGUGCGUCGUAGUCCGGAUUGGAGUCUGCAACUCGACUCCAUGAAGUCGGAAUCGCUAGUAAUCGUGGAUCAGAAUGCCACGGUGAAUACGUUCCCGGGCCUUGUACACACCGCCCGUCACACCAUGGGAGUGGGUUGCAAAAGAAGUAGGUAGCUUAACCUUCGGGAGGGCGCUUACCACUUUGUGAUUCAUGACUGGGGUGAAGUCGUAACAAGGUAACCGUAGGGGAACCUGCGGUUGGA